rnacentral:rRNA from 1 species
UACGUAAGGUGCAAGCGUUAAUCGGAAUUACUGGGCGUAAAGCGUGCGCAGGCGGUUGUGUAAGACAGAUGUGAAAUCCCCGGGCUCAACCUGGGAACUGCAUUUGUGACUGCACAGCUGGAGUGCGGCAGAGGGGGAUGGAAUUCCGCGUGUAGCAGUGAAAUGCGUAGAUAUGCGGAGGAACACCGAUGGCGAAGGCAAUCCCCUGGGCCUGCACUGACGCUCAUGCACGAAAGCGUGGGGAGCAAACAGG